ensembl:lncRNA
GCAAAUACCGCAAGUAUGAAAGCAGUGGGCAGGCUGGUGGCAGAUAGCAUGGGAGCUGCCACUGCGCACAGCCGGUUCACGCUUCAUUAGUAUCCUCUCUCCAAGCUGCGAGCACAGCCUUCAGUCUGCCUGCACACAGGCAGGGAAGGAGAGGAAGGAUGCAUGUUUUCCAUGCAGAGCUGAUCUCCUCUCCCUUCCCAAAAAUCUGCCAUCCCCCUCCAAGCCUUCCUUGGGCUCAAAGGUGCACCAUCCUGCUCCGAUUUCUCCCACGCUUGUUAAAUAUACCUUCAGGCAAGCAUCAGGAGUGAGCCCAGUUUGAAACUUAUUGUGUUGUCAAGAUGACAAGUGCUCUGCCAGGCGGCUAGUCUCUGCUGCCCUUCCCCUGUCUGCUCCCCCUCCCCUUCUGCUCAUUAGAAGCUCUCUUGAUAAGGCAAGGCUGUUGUUUCGUGCUUUUUUUUAAAAAAAAUCAUUUAAAUGUUUUCUUAACUUCAAAACAUCAACAGCUGCAGGACUGAACGAAGCAAAGCGAUGACACUUUCCAUUCAACAUGGACUCGGUGCACUGCGAUGCAGGAAGGCAGGCUGCUGGGCACGGAGCUGGAGUUCCAGCACAUGGUGCUCACAUGGCACUAAGCACCACUUCAACUCCCAACAAUCCACAUACCAGCCCCAGGUUCUUUUAAGGACAUCAGAGAAGGAUGGAGUUAACUGGCUUUGAGGAGCACAGAGCCAACUCUUGCAAACAAGCCGGCGCACUGACCCUUCUUAUGGGCCUUCCCUAUUGCAUCCUUCUGCCUGGGUUCCUCAAGGCAAUAAAAUAACAACUCUUUGCUUCAUUACAUGUGUUGGAAAGCAUCUUGACUAGCAGCCCAAGCCCCUGGAAGAGCUGGCUUUAAGCCUUGGCCAAGCCAUCGAAUCAAAACAGCUUGUGAGAGAUGAAUUAAGCAUUCUCCUCUUUGCCUGCAAACAAAGGCCUGGGGGGGAGCAAUGGAGGCCUUCUGAAACAGAAGGGACGCACAGGACUGUCAGAUAUGCCUCUUGCCACCAUUUAGCCUUCCUGUCAAGCUGUACUCCAG